UGCGGGUGUGGCGGAAUUGGCAGACGCACCAGAUUUAGGAUCUGGCGCCUUCGGGCGUGGGGGUUCAAGUCCCUUCACCCGCAU
rnacentral:tRNA from 1 species